rnacentral:sRNA from 1 species
UGGUUCAGCGUGGGGGCCGUUGGCUCCAGACAAAUAAACAUGGAGUCCAUCUUCCACGAGAAACAAGAAGGCUCACUUUGUGCUCAACAUUGCCUGAAUAACUUAUUGCAAGGAGAAUAUUUUAGCCCUGUGGAAUUAUCCUCAAUUGCACAUCAGCUGGAUGAGGAGGAGAGGAUGAGAAUGGCAGAAGGAGGAGUUACUAGUGAAGAUUAUCGCACGUUUUUACAGCAGCCUUCUGGAAAUAUGGAUGACAGUGGUUUUUUCUCUAUUCAGGUUAUAAGCAAUGCCUUGAAAGUUUGGGGUUUAGAACUAAUCCUGUUCAACAGUCCAGAGUAUCAGAGGCUCAGGAUCGAUCCUAUACUUUCCUAUUUCACCUUUGUGAUGUCCAUGAGCAUCUGCCCUGUAGCCUUCCUGGCACCCCAGUGU